AAUGAACGCUGGCGGCGUGGAUUAGGCAUGCAAGUCGAACGCGAAAGUUCCCUUCGGGGAGCGAGUAGAGUGGCGAAAGGGUGAGUAAUGCUUGGAUGACCUGCCCUCGAGACGGGGACAACAGUUCGAAAGGACUGCUAAUACCCGAUAGUCCGGUUUAGAUGCGUCUAGAUCGGGUAAAUGGUGCUUCCGCUCGAGGAGGGGUUCAAGUCCUAUCAGCUUGUUGGUGAGGUAACGGCUCACCAAGGCGAUGACGGGUAGCCGGACUGAGAGGUUGGCCGGCCACAUGGGAACUGAGACACUGUCCUGACUCCUACGGGAGGCUGCAGUCGAGGAAAUCUUCUGCAAUGGGCGAAAAGCCUGACAGAGCGACGCCGCGUGGAGGAUGAAGGCCCUCGGGUCGUAAACGUACCUGUCACAUGUUAUGAAACGCACAGGUCUAACCUGUGCGCUGACAAAAGCAUGAGAGGAAGUCACGGCUAACUUCGUG
rnacentral:rRNA from 1 species